ACCGGGAUUCAAUCUCUCGUUGGCCGCGGCACCGUCGCGGUUCGCCGGCAAGUACCUCCGCGACCGACGGCCUUUUCGAUGACAUGUGCCACCAGGGCCUUCAGGGCGUCGGUGCAUCAUGACACGCUGCGACGCCAUAGGAUUCAGUCCCACGACUGUGAAGGCCAGGAGGGGGCCCACGUGACCACCAGCGCCGUGCAGAGGUGGAGGCGCAAGAAGCGAACUUUUCUGAGUGGUGCAGCUUCCGCCCUAGCAUUUAUGAAGAUGCACGUCCACGAUGCAUUUCAUCCAUCGACACGCGACGAAAGCUGAGAGGCAUCGAUAGCCGUUAUCAGAAUUCCUUCCGAUAUCGGAGAGAGUGGUCAAGAGCCAACGUACGCGUCUGCCGCUGUUCCCGAGAAACAAAUAAUCAUUGGGACUGGAAUUUACCUACAGCAUUGUACACAAGCUGAAUGCCGGCCGAGUCCUUAGUAAGGCUCUCAAAGUCGGCGACACCAAGCGAAACACUGCAUCCAUGGCAAGCAACUUCGCGUCUCCAUAGCAGCGGCAUCUUGCGUCUAAUAAAAUUUUAUCAGUCACCGCUAAGCGGUGGCAUCACACUUUUCACGAUCAUAAAUG